rnacentral:misc_RNA from 1 species
GGUGAACCUUAUAGUCACAUUUUUCUCAGGAGAAUCUGAUACAAAUUGGAAAAGGAAUUGGGCAUAGGGCGUGAUGACAGCCAUUUGUCGCAUAUAAUGCAAUAUUUUGGAGCGGUAGGUUGUCCAGUUCCCUUCAAUAACAAUCUGGAUUUCAGCACCAUGCCACCGUUCUUUGUUUUCCCGUUUUUCAUGUAUAUGAAUGUGAGGGACAUUCUUGUGAAUAUCAAUAUCCAGCCUACAGAAUGAGGUAU